rnacentral:tRNA from 1 species
GACAGUGUAGCGUAGUGGUAAGGAGUAGGGCUUGUAACCAAAAGGUUACUGGUUCAAUUCCCCACAGGGGUA